rnacentral:rRNA from 1 species
AGAGUUUGAUCCUGGCUCAGGACGAACGCUGGCGGCGUGCCUAAUACAUGCAAGUCGAACGAAGCUUUCUUUCACCGAAUGCUUGCAUUCACCGAAAGAAGCUUAGUGGCGAACGGGUGAGUAACACGUAGGCAACCUGCCCAAAAGAGGGGGAUAACACUUGGAAACAGGUGCUAAUACCGCAUAACCAUGAACACCGCAUGAUGUUCGUGUAAAAGACGGCUUUUGCUGUCACUUUUGGAUGGGCCUGCGGCGUAUUAACUUGUUGGUGGGGUAACGGCCUACCAAGGUGAUGAUACGUAGCCGAACUGAGAGGUUGAUCGGCCACAUUGGGACUGAGACACGGCCCAGACUCCUACGGGAGGCAGCAGUAGGGAAUCUUCCACAAUGGACGAAAGUCUGAUGGAGCAACGCCGCGUGAAUGAAGAAGGCCUUCGGGUCGUAAAAUUCUGUUGUCAGAGAAGAAUGUGCGUGAGAGUAACUGUUCACGUAUUGACGGUAUCUGACCAGAAAGCCACGGCUAACUACGUGCCAGCAGCCGCGGUAAUACGUAGGUGGCAAGCGUUGUCCGGAUUUAUUGGGCGUAAAGGGAACGCAGGCGGUCUUUUAAGUCUGAUGUGAAAGCCUUCGGCUUAACCGAAGCAGUGCAUUGGAAACUGGAAGACUUGAGUGCAGAAGAGGAGAGUGGAACUCCAUGUGUAGCGGUGAAAUGCGUAGAUAUAUGGAAGAACACCAGUGGCGAAAGCGGCUCUCUGGUCUGUAACUGACGCUGAGGUUCGAAAGCGUGGGUAGCAAACAGGAUUAGAUACCCUGGUAGUCCACGCCGUAAACGACGAGUGCUAAGUGUUGGAGGGUUUCCGCCCUUCAGUGCUGCAGCUAACGCAUUAAGCACUCCGCCUGGGGAGUACGGUCGCAAGACUGAAACUCAAGGGAAUUGACGGGGGCCCGCACAAGCGGUGGAGCAUGUGGUUUAAUUCGAAGCAACGCGAAGAACCUUACCAGGUCUUGACAUCUUCUGACAAUUCCAGAGAUGGAACGUUCCCUUCGGGGACAGAAUGACAGGUGGUGCAUGGUUGUCGUCAGCUCGUGUCGUGAGAUGUUGGGUUAAGUCCCGCAACGAGCGCAACCCUUAUUGUCAGUUGCCAUCAUUAAGUUGGGCACUCUGGCGAGACUGCCGGUGACAAACCGGAGGAAGGUGGGGAUGACGUCAAAUCAUCAUGCCCCUUAUGACCUGGGCUACACACGUGCUACAAUGGACGGUACAACGAGUCGCUAACUCGCGAGGGCAAGCUAAUCUCUUAAAGCCGUUCUCAGUUCGGAUUGCAGUCUGCAACUCGACUGCAUGAAGUUGGAAUCGCUAGUAAUCGCGAAUCAGCAUGUCGCGGUGAAUACGUUCCCGGGCCUUGUACACACCGCCCGUCACACCAUGAGAGUUUGUAACACCCAAAGUCGGUGGGGUAACCUUUUGGAGCCAGCCGCCUAAGGCGGGACAGAUGAUUGGGGUGAAGUCGUAACAAGGUA